rnacentral:rRNA from 1 species
GAUGAACGCUGGCGGCGUGCCUAAUACAUGCAAGUCGAGCGAACGGACGAGAAGCUUGCUUCUCUGAUGUUAGCGGCGGACGGGUGAGUAACACGUGGAUAACCUACCUAUAAGACUGGGAUAACUUCGGGAAACCGUAGCUAAUACCGGAUAAUAUUUUGAACCGCAUGGUUCAAAAGUGAAAGACGGUCUUGCUGUCACUUAUAGAUGGAUCCGCGCUGCAUUAGCUAGUCGGUACGGUAACGGCUUAUCAAGGCAACGAUGCAUAUCCGACGUGAGAGGGUGAUCGGCCACACUGGAGCGGGGACGCCGUCCAGACUCCUACGGGAGGCAGCAGUAGGGAAUCUUCCGCAAUGGGCGAAAGCCUGACGGAGCAACGCCGCGUGAGUGAUGAAGGUCUUCGGAUCGUAAAACUCUGUUAUUAGGGAAGAACAGAUGUGUAAGUAACUGUGCACAUCUUGACGGUACCUAAUCAGAAAGCCACGGCUAACUACGUG